AGGGUAAUAGCCCACUGGUAGAGUGCCUGCUUAGCAUACAUGAGGUCCUGGGUUCAAUCCCCAGUUCCUCCG
rnacentral:tRNA from 1 species